UGGAAACUUGGUGGUUGUUGUUGAAUGGCGAAGCUUGGAAUGAUAGUUGACUCCGUUGGUAACUUCUUCUCCGGCAAAGAUCAGCUUCCCUAGUGUGACCCUGACAUCGUCGCUGCAAGACAACCAAAUCCAAUCAUAUACAGGAGAUUACACCGCAGAUCAGUGGCAGCGAGAAUUUCAGGCAAACAAACUGAGGCAAGAUACUGCUUGACAACCAAAUCUAAUGAUUCUGAGGAUUCUUGAACUGAUGGGAGCAGAAAUAACCUUUUGGAAGUUAAUGUUUCAGAAGUAGAUCACCAUGAAAGACAAGUAAAGGAAGCUCAGCAGAAAGGAUUGUCCCUCACUGAUGGAGAUAAGGUAU